rnacentral:rRNA from 1 species
AUUGAACGCUGGCGGCAGGCCUAACACAUGCAAGUCGAACGGCAGCGGGGGGUAGCUUGCUACCCCGCCGGCGAGUGGCGGACGGGUGAGUAAUGCCUGGGGAGCUGCCCAAUCGAGGGGGAUACCAGUUGGAAACGACUGCUAAUACCGCAUACGCCCUGAGGGGGAAAGGUGGGGAUCUUCGGACCUACCGCGAUUGGAUGCACCCAGGUGGGAUUAGCUAGUUGGUGAGGUAACGGCUCACCAAGGCGACGAUCUCUAGCUGGUCUGAGAGGAUGACCAGCCACACUGGAACUGAGACACGGUCCAGACUCCUACGGGAGGCAGCAGUGGGGAAUAUUGCACAAUGGGGGAAACCCUGAUGCAGCCAUGCCGCGUGUGUGAAGAAGGCCUCGGUUGUAAGACGACUUCUAGCGAGGAGGAAAGGUA